rnacentral:rRNA from 1 species
UACGUAGGAGGCAAGCGUUGUCCGGAGUUACUGGGCGUAAAGCGCACGCAGGCGGUUCAGUCAGUCUGUAGGGACAGGGCACAGCUCAACUGUGUCAGGCUUACGGAAACUGCUGAACUUGAGGGCUUCAGAGGGAUGGGGAAUUCCGGGUGGAGUGGUGAAAUGCGUAGAGAUCCGGAAGAACACCAAAGGCGAAGGCACCAUCCUGGGGAGUCACUGACGCUCGGGUGCGAAAGCGUGGGUAGCAAACAGG